rnacentral:rRNA from 1 species
AGCUCCAACAGCGUAUAUUAAAGUUGCUGCAGUUAAAACGCUCGUAGUUGUUGUCCAACUAUACGCUAUUUCAAGCAAUUGAUAAUAGUUCAAUAGUUUAGCGGAAACUCGUUUCUGCCAAAACCUUGAGGAAAGAUUAGUGUUCCAAGCAGUUAUCACUUUGUCCUCCCCAGCAUGGUAUUCAACCUAAUAGAAAGGGAUUGUCGAGUCUCUUUCUUACUAUAUAGAAAUUCAAGGGGGUAUACGUACUUUAAUGUCAGAGGUGAAAUUCAUAGAUUUUUAAAAGACGGUCAAUUGCGAAAGCAUUCACCAAGCGACUUUUCU